rnacentral:misc_RNA from 1 species
GAUGAAGAACGUAGCGAAAUGCGAUAAGUAAUGUGAAUUGCAGAAUUCAGUGAAUCAUCGAAUCUUUGAACGCACAUUGCGCCCGCCAGUAUUCUGGCGGGCAUGCCUGUCUGAGCGUCAUUUCAACCCUCAUGCCCCUAGGGCGUGGUGUUGGGGAUCGGCCAAAGCCCGCGAGGGACGGCCGGCCCCUAAAUCUAGUGGCGGACCCGUCGUGGCCUCCUCUGCGAAGUAGUGAUAUUCCGCAUCGGAGAGCGACGAGCCCCUGCCGUUAAACCCCCAACUUUCCAAGGUUGACCUCAGAUCAGGUAGGAAUACCCGCUGAACUUAAGCAUAUCACUAAGCGGAGGA